AAAAUCUGACCUGUUUACAAGUUCCAAUUUGCAACACGAGGACACGCUUCCGGACUCCUCCGGAAAAUUAAAUGGUUGGCCAACUAUUGUUCAUCCCUGGGAAAAUGCGCUCUAAAUUUAGCGCGCACACUGAAGGAAGCUUCAUACAACAAGAACCAUAAGGGUUGCUGAAAUCCUACCUUUAUCAUCUCCAGAGUUUAUAUGACAUGAACAGAGCAUGCGACUGAUGUAGGAAUCAUGGUGUGAAUGCCAUCUGAUUCUGAAGACGUCUCCAUGCGUGUCAGUGUCAGAAAAGGCCAUCAAAGCAGUGGAUUGUUUUCUUUCAAAAGGUUACAUUUCCUAAAUGAAGCCAAAAGCCCACCACAUAUACCAUAUUUUGGAAGAAAUCUGUAGAAACAGGGAUUUCAGCUGGAGAACGCAAUGCCUGGCUGCUCUACAGAAAUUGCCGUAUUGGACGUAUUUGUUGAUCGUUAGUACUAUUAUUGUUUUAAAAGGAAAAGGGAAGCGCUUGUUCGUCGGUUAAUCUGCACAAAUUCAAACCAGUCGGGUGUUGAAGAUGGAGUCACAAGCGAGGAUGCAGGCUUUCCCAUUCCAAUAUCUGAUUCCACAUGGCUGUUCUGCAUGAGAAAGAUUUUCAUUUGGGAAAUGAAGCCAAAUGGCCACCUUCACCUACCCCUGCAUUUAUAUUGCUGAUGUCUCCACAGUCUGCACCUUCAGUGUGUUAUUCAAGUGUAACAUUGCCCCAUACUGUGCUAUGAUCAAUAUUUGAGCUUACAAUUAUCAUGGCAUUGAAAGUUAUAAGUCUAUUUGGGUGCUAUAUACAAACAUAAUAGCUUUAUUGGUGUUUAGGAACUAAGCUGUAAGAUUAUCUGCGGAAUUUCUAAUAAAAACAAUCAUAUAUAGAGAGGAAAAAAACUGUUAUAUAUAAAUAAAGUGUAUCGGAUACACUAAAUAUGGGUUAAUGAUAAAUAAUAAAUUAGUUUGUCCAUUUGUUUCUUUUCAAAUGAGGUUUGCUCUCUCCCUGUCUUUUGUUUGUGCAGGCAAUAUAGAGCCUUUGAUUCUCACAAUUUAUUAUACAGGGUGAUGUCAUUCGCCUGUUUGAUUGUUUUCCUUUUUGAGGGUCCACUUAGAACAUCAAGGCACAGUUUGACCCCAGCAUGUCGCUACACGUCACAUGAUCUGGAACAAAACAUUGAGUGAAGAAACCCAUGUCCUCUUUGUGUGGUCUGGUGUUGUGCCAAGUGUUGACAGGUCUAGAACUGGCACUAUUUCCUGCUGAGGCUUGAGGUUCACUUCUUCACUAGACAUUUUCACAGUUGUUAUCAGGUUAAUACUUAAAAUACAUAAAUCACUCAUUUAUAUCAUUUCCCAUUUGAUGCAGAAUUUGGCAUAACACCAAACCUGUCAUGUUGCGGAAUAAGAAAUACUUUUUUCAAAAAGAUUUUCAGUAUAAGGAUUCUGUUUCUCUUGCCAA